rnacentral:rRNA from 1 species
AUACGGAGGGUGCAAGCGUUGUCCGGAUUUAUUGGGUUUAAAGGGUGUGUAGGCGGUGUAUUAAGUCAGUGGUGAAAGCCUGCGGCUCAAUCGUAGAACUGCCAUUGAUACUGACACACUUGAGUUUGGUUGAGGUAGGCGGAAUUUAUGGUGUAGCGGUGAAAUGCAUAGAUACCAUAAAGAACACCGAUAGCGAAGGCAGCUUACUAAGCCGAAACUGACGCUGAGGCACGAAAGCGUGGGGAGCGAACAGGAUUAGAAACCCCAGUAGUCC